rnacentral:lncRNA from 1 species
GAUUGGAGAUGAAACGAAUUGGAUUGUUGUUGCCUUUGAAUUGGGUUGCGGAUGCUGCACAUUUGAAGAUGUUGCAAACGGCUAAUCUUUGUUGAGCUGGCUACUAUGCCGGAAUGGAAUUAUUUGGAAUAAUUAGAGAUAUACUGGGCCGCAUGAUUGGGCCAAAGAUCUACUACGCUGUUGGUGCUGAUUCUUUGCUGGAACGCUGUUGGGAUUGUUGUGUUGCAAAUAUGAUUGGGCUCCGCUAAUUGGAAGUAAAUUGGGC